GAUGAAGAACGCAGCGAAAUGCGAUAAGUAAUGUGAAUUGCAGAAUUCAGUGAAUCAUCGAAUCUUUGAACGCACAUUGCGCCCGCCAGCACUCUGGCGGGCAUGCCUGUUCGAGCGUCAUUUCAACCAUCAAGCCCCAGGCUUGUGUUGGAGCCCUGCGGCUGCCGCAGCCUCCCAAAACCAGUGGCGGGCUCGCUAUCACACCGAGUGCAGUAGUUUACUCUUCGCUCAGGGCGUGUGGCGGGUGCUAGCCGUGAAACCCCCAACUUCUCAAGGUUGACCUCGGAUCAGGUAGGAAUACCCGCUGAACUUAAGCAUAUCAAUAAGCGGAGGA
rnacentral:misc_RNA from 1 species